UACGUAGGGGGCAAGCGUUGUCCGGAUUUAUUGGGCGUAAAGAGCUCGUAGGCGGCUUAGUAAGUCGGGUGUGAAACCUCCAGGCUCAACCUGGAGACGCCACCCGAUACUGCUGUGGCUAGAGUCCGGUAGGGGAGCGUGGAAUUCCUGGUGUAGCGGUGAAAUGCGCAGAUAUCAGGAGGAACACCGGCUGGCGAAGGCGGCGCUGGCGGCGAUACUGACGCUGAGGAGCGAAAGCGUGGGGAGCAACAGG
rnacentral:rRNA from 1 species